UGGGGAAUUUUGGACAAUGGGCGCAAGCCUGAUCCAGCCAUGCCGCGUGUCUGAAGAAGGCCUUCGGGUUGUAAAGGACUUUUGUCAGGGAAGAAAAGGGCGGGGUUAAUACCCCUGUCUGAUGACGGUACCUGAAGAAUAAGCACCGGCUAACUACGUGCCAGCAGCCGCGGUAAUACGUAGGGUGCGAGCGUUAAUCGGAAUUACUGGGCGUAAAGCGGGCGCAGACGGUUACUUAAGCAGGAUGUGAAAUCCCCGGGCUCAACCUGGGAACUGCGUUCUGAGCUGGGUGACUAGAGUGUGUCAGAGGGAGGAAGAAUUCCACGUGUAGCAGUGAAAUGCGUAGAGAUGUGGAGGAAUACCGAUGGCGAAGGCAGCCUCCUGGGAUAACACUGACGUUCAUGCCCGAAAGCGUGGGUAGCAAACA
rnacentral:rRNA from 1 species